rnacentral:SRP_RNA from 10 species
GCUGGGUGGGGUGGCGCAUGCCUGUAAUCCCAGCUACUCGGGAGGCUGAGGCAGGAGAAUCGCUUGAACCUGGGAGGCAGAAGUUGCAGUGAGCCAAGAUCACGCCAUUGCACUCCAGCCUGGGCAACAAGAGCAAAACUGUCUCCAAAGGCCGCAUUUAGGAGGUCCUGCUGAGAUGUUUGGGGACCUUCCUCUAAUUUUUUUUUUUUUUUUAAGACAGAGUUUCACUCUUUUUGCCCAGGCUGGAGUGCAAUGGCGUGAUCUCAGCUCACCGCAACCUCCGCCUCCCAGGUUCAAGUGAUUCUCCUGC